rnacentral:rRNA from 1 species
GACCCAGCAACGCCGCGUGAAGGAUGAAGUAUUUCGGUAUGUAAACUUCGAAAGAAUAGGAAGAAUUAAUGACGGUACUAUUUAUAAGGUCCGGCUAACUACGUGCCAGCAGCCGCGGUAAUACGUAGGGACCAAGCGUUGUUCGGAUUUACUGGGCGUAAAGGGCGCGUAGGCGGCGCGGUAAGUCACUUGUGAAAUCUCUGAGCUUAACUCAGAACGGCCAAGUGAUACUGCAGUGCUAGAGUGUGGAAGGGGCAAUCGGAAUUCUUGGUGUAGCGGUGAAAUGCGUAGAUAUCAAGAGGAACACCUGAGGUGAAGACGGGUUGCUGGGCCAACACUGACGCUGAGGCGCGAAAGCCAGGGGAGCAAACGGGAUUAGAUACCCCGGUAGUCCUGGCCCUAAACGAUGAAUACUUGGUGUCUGGAGUUUUAAUGCUCCGGGUGCCGUCGCUAACGUUUUUAGUAUUCCGCCUGGGGAGUACGCUCGCAAGAGUG